CCUUUGUACACACCGCCCGUCGCUACUACCGAUUGAAUGGCUCAGUGAGGCCUUCGGAUUGGCUCCAGGAGGUUGGCAACGACCACCAGGAGCCGAGAAGUUGGUCAAACUUGGUCAUUUAGAGG
rnacentral:rRNA from 1 species